rnacentral:lncRNA from 1 species
GUUGAGUGGGUAAGCAUAUCUUCUGCAUAUAUGUUAACCUGUUGAGGUAUCUGAAUGGUUCUUAAAAGUGUCCUGCUUUGUCUUUUACUGUCACUAGAUGACCUGUUGCGCCCAUGGCGCAAAGGCCGAGAGCAAGUCAAUUAUUGAAAGAAUGUGCAUCAAAAUAUGUAGACACAUAAGAAAACAUAUGGAAAUAAGUACUGAUUGAUGAUAGAUAGAUGGUUGCUGAUGGUACAUGUUUUCUAAAAGGCUUACGAACUAUCAUUUACAAUGUUAUGAGCAAGGCAUGUAGAUAGGCAGAGCUACAUUAGACAAAUGUAUCAUGGGAUGUUUAGAACGAUUUCUUCGAGGCAAGUCUUCAUAGCUGCUGUUCUUCAUGGCCCGAGGUGCACAUAUGCCUCACAUCCGAUGCAAAUAUGGCGCUGCGUGCCCAUCAUGCGAGGCAGCGGGCGCGGGACACCACGACGGAUCCGUCGUCGAUCUCACGUCCAUCGGCAACAGGCAGACUCCACGCUUUGACAAGAGUAGUUCAUGGGAUAUGUCAGCGCCUCAAGUCCUGUGAGCUGUUGUGUGUCCCAUGUCCUACUCUACCUCGCCGUUUACCGCACUUCCACUCCGAGGGGCACAACCAACCGUCGGACAUGGACACUGCCGAAACAUUAAGGACGGUCACCGGUGGAAAUUUAGAUUAGUUUUAUGUUACGUGUAAUCGUAUGAAUUUGAUGAUUUGCAAAUGGGAUAUCCGAUUGCGGAAACAAUUUUUUGUUUGUUCACUAUCUGCAAACACAUCUGGACACAUCCGCAUGUUUGGGAAAGGAUUUUGAUACUUGUGGUUGUAGAUGCUUUUAUAUUAAGAUAAGUGGGAAUAAAUCUGACGAAACAAUACAGAUUAUACCAAUUACAAGUACAAGGUAGCAUCAAAGAUAAUAUUACAACCGUGCCAUUGUGACAAAGAGCCACACACUCUAGAGUCUGGACACCUAUACACACGGGUUGCACAUACGACAUAUAAUGCCAGAGAUAACCAUGUGGUGGAUUGUUGUCCUUUUCCAUCGACCAGUUCAUCCUCUUCCUCUCCCCACUGUACUCGAGAAAGCACCUACUAGAGGCGGCUCACGCUGGGCUCCAUCUUCGCGGCGGAUCACACUGCAGCUUGGCGAGCGAGUGGCUCCGGCUGCAGCUCAGAGGCGCUGCGCUCCAACUGCAGCUCGGAGGCGCAGCAGCUCCAACUGCAUCUCGGUGGUCCGGCAGCUCCAACUGCAUCUCGGUGGUCCGGCAGCUCCCGCUAUAGCUUGAAGUUGCGGAAUCGGCAGAUGGUGCCGCUGUCACUCGUAUCGGCGAGCCAAAUCCUCAUAGUUGUUGUUGUCGCUCCCUGCCGAAGGUGGCAUUUGUUCUGGCUGUGUGGCAGCCUGGCACUCCCUGAAGCUAGUUACUUUCCACGGCAAGGGAGGCUCCAGCAAGCCCACAGCGGUCGCCGUUGCUGCUCAGGUAAAAACUAACCUCCUUCGGUGUUUGAUGAAUCUGUAAAAAUUUUGUGAUUCAAUUCCACUGUAGCACAAGGGGCACCAUGAUCUACUAUUUUGCUGAGAGUAGUGGCAUGGCAAAGUACAUCUUCGUUUUCUGAAAAAUAGAACAAGAUGCAGGGACUGAUCACUCGUAGAAGUAAACUCCAAAAGGAGAAGCUUAUAACUUCACUAAAUAACUAUACCAGGAGCAACAUUACUAAUUACAUCCUCAUGGUUUCGUCAUUUACAACAGGCCCAGUUGGAAAAUGGCCUGUCAGACCAUUGACGUUGCUGAUGUGGUGCAUCGGCCCACAUCAGUGAACCAUCGUCAGAGUUGAACUUAUUGAUGGACAAUGACGGAAUGCAUCCCCUGAAUGAAGUGAGCAUUUUCCUGUUUGUUUAUCUAGCCUCUCAUUCUUACCUUAGACAUACAAAUGAAAAAAGAGGUACUCCCUCUGUCCGAAAAAGUUUGUCCCAAGCUUGUCUCUCAAAUGGAUGUAUCUAGCACUAAUUUGAUGCUAGAUACAUUCAUUUAAGGGACAAGCUUUUUCGGACAGAGGGAGUAUGGGAGAAAGAGGGUGGAGACUAAACAAAGAUAAACCAAGAUACCGAAUUAAUACAGAGUGAUCAUGUAAAUAGAAAACGAAAUGUGAAUAAAGAGAACCCAAAGACUCGUAAAACAGAGAGUAAGAACGAACAACGAGGACCUAGCACUACUAUGUUAAUAGGCAAGUUUCAAGAGUAGUGUUGAUACUUAGAUGAGUGAUGCAACGUUGGAGUACUAAUUAGUGGCUGGGACUGCUCCAACCAUCGAGCGGGGUAUAUUGUAUAUAAUACGUAGUUGAGUGAUCGCCUUUAGAUGUUUCAGAUGCUGAAGAGUAUUUUCCAAUGAACAUAUAUAUUAUGCUAUGCAUCCUGACAUAUGCACUUCCUUGGAAUUGUUGAUAUGUAUGUAUCAUUGCUAGCAGCCGUCGUUGGCCUACUUGGAGAACAAAUAAGCAUUUUAACAUAAGGGCAUCACAAAAAAAUCAGAAUACAAAAACUAUGUUAGGUCUGCAGUUUUUUUCAUGCAUCAUCUGAGUUUAGUGUACUUUUUGUGCAGCAGCAACCAGAAGCCAAAAGAACCCAAUACUGUACAAUCUAAAAUAAAAACAUGUCCACAAGCCUAAUAACAUUGAAAGUCUGAGUCCUACUACAACAGUUCAAACAAUCAAUAGUCAGAAGAGGCUAAUUAAGGUACUGGUAUAAGGUACUUAACUGGGUAUACAUAAUAUCUAGGAUCAAAAAAUUUAGAUAAGAUGCCAAGGGUUCUUCACUCUAUAAAUGGUACUCACCUGAACACUAAAGCCAUGGUUGUCAUUGCAUAGCUCUAGACUAAAUAAUAAGGGCAAUACCAAAAGAUUUAUGCAUUAGUGCAUGAACUAAGAUAAAAUAAAAUGAGCCUACAAUGAUGGUGUUACUUUCUUGCGCAAGCACCAAAACUUUGCCAAAAAGUAAAAUAUACUGGGAGCAUUCUACCUUUAUUUUCCCUAUAUAAUCCUUGCCCUUGCUUCUAGAUUAUAUGAUGGCGGUGCAAGCUAGCCAACAUCUUCAGAUUAGUCCAUCCAAAAAGCACCCCAAAGGUAACAGUUGGAUUGAUUGUGUCAUUCUUGAAACGCCAUUAUCAGAAAUUCAGUUGGUGCUUAAUAGUAAAUAGAAGUGCAGGACAUGCUCAUCACGCUUACCUAGGACUCAUAGGCCUUAUCUAAUCCCUCGCCAAAGCAAAUCAUCUAUUCUAUGUGAAAUAGGCAAGAGGUACGCAAAAAAUGCUAUAUACCAAAGAGUAUACGUCAAUCUAAACUGACGUACUGCUCACAAGAAACAGAGUAUGAUAACACGUUACUGCUCACUCUAAAAAUAAAAUAAGUUGUUGGAAAGGAGGGGGGGCUAUUUUAUUUAUACAGUUUAGUUUUGUGAUUUAGUGCAAAUAAGAACAUGUCCAAACCUGAUAGGCACGGCACCAAAGAGUAUACGUCAAUCUAAACUGACGUACUGCUCACAACAAACAGAGUAUGCUAACAUGUCGUUGCUCACUCUAAAAAAUAAAAUAAGUUGUUGGAAGGGGGGAGGGGGCUAUUUUAUUUAUACAGUUUAGUUUGUGAUUUAGUAGUAGUACAAAUAAGAACAUGUCCAAACCUGGUAGGCACGGCAAUCUCAAAUCCAUGGGGUCAGUUUGGUUAGAUCACGAUGAGCAGAAAUGAAACACACCAUAUACAUUUUCCAUGCAUCAACAUACGUUUUCAGUUUAAUCAACACAUGUGCUAUUCUCUGAAUAUGAAAAUCACACGGCCAAUUUCUAAUAGUACCCUACUUUUUUCUGUGGCUCCUGUGAUUUUUGAGAGUGCAAACCGAUGAGAUUAGCUUAACGAAAUUGUCUCAGAAUCCCAUAGAGACUACAGCAGCAGCAAGAAAGCAUUAUGGUUUUCCCUAAAAAAAUAAAGCAUCAUGGUUAAACUUAUGCAGCUAUCAACGCCUGUUUUAAAGAAACAGAAGAAACUUAAAUUAACUACAGUCUCUCACAAUUCCAUUAAUUAGAGACUACAACAGCGGCAAGAAAGCAUCGUGGUUUAGGUUUUGCAACUACCAAAAUGUGAGCUCAUGCGAACAAAAGAUGGUAAAUUAUUCAGCCUAGCAUCAUGGUUCAGCAUACAAAAUUACCAAAAUGUCAUCUUCAGCCAUGUCUUAUAGUUUCAGGAAAAAGAAUUACGAGAAAGUUCACCCAUUAAUGUGACUCAGAUUCAACCUACCACAAGGUUAGAGCAGUUAAUUGUCGUCCGCGUUGGCUUCGUUUGCUCGAUCAUUUCGCUCUGCAGCAUUGGCUCUUUAUCUAGUUUCCUCUGUUUUGCUCCAGGCUGCCUUUUUGCUUCUGAAGAUUGCAGGAAGGGCUAAGUGCAAUUGAAUAAAGCUGAAUAUAUUUCUAUAACGAUUUUUUCUAAAUACAAAAGCUACCCACUACAUACAAAGGAAUCCCAAAUUCAUGCAAUCCCUCGUACAUAAGGACAUAGAGAUAGAGAAUCACUAAAAAUCAAUUGAUUUAACAACUUCUAUUUAUUUAUACUCCCAUUUUAUAAAUUCCAUUGUUGUUAACAACAUCUAUUUAUGUAUGCUCCCAGAUUCUCACCAACAAUCUAAAGCAUUGAGCCACUGCACCAUUCACUUGCAUUGCCACAUAGAUUAUUUAUUCAUGCAACAUCUAAACUUAAAGAACAUCAGACUUUAAAAGAAUUGAGGAGACAAGUAGACAACAGCACAGACCAUCCAAUGCAGUCCUCAGGGGCUCUACCAACUCUGGGAACUCAAUCUCAUCAAGCGCUUUGAAGACGUCUUCGGCGUUGCUUGUCUGCAUCUUUCCUUCCUUGCACACAUCAUCUGACCUGCAAAUAAGAUCACACUCAUGUUACUAUCAUCAUCCAAAAAGCAUCACAUCACAAGUAUAAGCAUAAUAUUAUUUAUACUCUCAGGCGGCCCUCCCCUCUACCAAACAGCAGAGCAAUUAGCUAAAAAUCUCAACUAUGCAAAUCCUAAACCAGCAGUGCUAACUAUAAACCCCCAAACAUUUCAUAUAAGCAUCAUAUUUCAAUACCUCUGUAACCUCUGCGCCGUGAAGAAUGAAAACUGCAGAAGCCUGAAGCUUUUCUUCAGAAAACUGAAAGUGUUAACACGCAUUCACUGAAAGUUUAGCUUCUCUUCAUUCUUCUGAAAAAUCAAUUAUUAGUGGCGAAGCUACUCUUCUCCAUUAACCACUCCGUGUUAGCUGCUGCUACAGAUAUGAACAAGUUCUUCCUUAGGGGAAAACAGUAUAUAUAAUAUUGUGCUGACCGUUUGUGAUGAUUCCGGUAUAUACAGUAGUUAAUGGAUUUUGCCCUCAAGUUUGUUUCUCUCUUUUGCCGCUCUGCUUUAGUUGGGCGCGGCACGCGCUCGAGUGUUCCCCUGUCCAUAUUUUUGUGGCACCGCUUGUGGUUGGUGCUUCAGCCUCAAUCUUUUUCUUUUGUGUCUAAAACACGAAUGACUUUUAUCGGCUAAAAUGCCACAUUGUGCAAGCCAUACCACUCUUGCUUAUAAUUAAUUUCAGAGGCAUUUGGCAAUGGCAUUUUGAUGGCAGUGAUGUCAGGUGUUCCAGCCACAGCCGACAGAGUACUACAAAGAAAAAAUUCAAAUCCAUAACAAGAACUCAUUAUUUUAAAAUAAACUCAGGGAGAAACUGGAUGUGGCUAGAGGAGGUGCCUCACCUUGAACUGGUGAUCAGAUCGCCGCCGCCAAGCGGGCUUGUCCGUGGAGGAGGCCCAGGCCUCUUAUGAUGCCAUCGCCAAAUCCAGGCGUUGUCCUCGUCCUCGCUUGUCUGUGAUGCGGCCAACGGCGACCCUCCACUCCAUGGCAACGCGAGCGGCAACGAGAGCUUCGAUCUGGCUGCUUUUUUCCCACGUUGUCAUCCUCCUCACCUCUUCCCGCUCCUCCACACCCAUGCUGAAAACCUCAACGCCGCACUCUCCCAUGAAGGCAACCAGCGGCCCAUCCAUAACCACUGUGUGUGCCAGCGCCGGAUCGAGAGGAGGAUAAAAGCGAAGGGGAAGCAAGGGGCGUGGUGGUGGUGGAGGCCGGAGGGCAGGGAGAGGCGGCGGCGACGAAGCUAAAGGGGAGGGGAGGGAAUGUGGGGCUCGAGGACGGGCUGGGAUUGGGGAUUAGGUUUUCACCGCGCGGCCCGCACAUCCCAUAAUUCAGCUACGUAAAACCAGAGUAAAUUCACAUCAUUCUCUGGACCCACACUUAACGAGGCCCAUCAGUCAUCCACCUCUGAAACGAGCACAAAGGUGCAAAAGAAUUGACGGUCCAGCGAUCGCCAGCAGCAAAAAUCGUACGAGAGUAACAAGAUCGAACGGCUCACGCGGUGAAAAUCACUCAGGGGCGCUAGAAUGGCGGGUAACAUAGCUGGGUUUAUAUGUUCAAUUUCUCAAGUACCAAAUUGCAAGAGAGGGCUCUUAAGAUUUUCUCUACAACUAUGCCUGCACAGAGAUUAGAAUUCUUUCAUGCAGGUAGUAGCAAAUGAACUACUAACCCUCUGCUGUGCUUCUGCAAGAUAUUUCUGCUUGUUUUUACUCGUUGCUGCAUUACCUUUAACUUCUGUUUCUGAGGCCAUAAUUCUGUCAUGUCCUAGUUUGAUUUGAAUGUUGUCCGGUUUACACAAGUGAUUUAUACCAACAAUACCGGAGCAUCUGGUUUCAACCUUUUCUUAUAUGGACUUAUAGAAUUGCCAUUUCAUGUUGCUGCUUAUAGAGGAGUUUUAUCGAUGACCAUUCUAGUUUUAGUCUGUUUCGUUAAACAUUUUCUCAGCAUGUCACUUGGUGUCUGCCAAACUUGCGUAAACAUGUAACUGGCCAUUAGCUACUAGUAUUAUAAUUUGGCAGCUUUAAACUAUACCACUAUAGGUAGUACGCUUUGUGUGGAGUAUUUUGUUUUCAAUUUUGGCCACUACUGAUGUUUAAUAAUUAAUACUUCGAGUAUUGUGAGUACUUCAUAAGAAACACAUGAUCAAAAUAAAAUGACUAGAUUCACCAAAAAACUGCCUUUUAUCAAUAAUGCCUUUUUUUACUAGCAUGUUAUCAUUGAAAUAGUGGUGAAAGUAUUGAUUGAUACUGUAUAGUGUAAAAAAGAAGUCAUUUGGAUCGAAAGAAGUUUCUUGUAUGGUAAAAAGAAGGCUUGUACUGCAGGAAUUUGAUGAAAUUUGAUAUGUUAGUAACCAGACGGCUAUGCCUAUGAGCUAGAAACCAGGAAUUUGAGCCUCUACGCAGACCAAAUGUAGCCAAAAACUCAUAAUGUUAUAAAUGUUAGUUCUGUCUAAUAAUGCCGAGAUGCUUCAACUUUGGAGUUUUUUGACAGUUUCCACAAUUCUGUAGCUCAUAUUUUCUUUUUCUGUCAUUGAAAAUUAUGAGAGCAACUCCAACAGCAUUUCCUGAUUGUUGACUGAUGAUAUUACUUGCUCUGCAGGAAUCUACAGUUACAUUCUGUUGGCUGAGAUGCAGAAAUGGGUUGUCAAGUGUAGUUUAUUCCACCUUUAUGCUCGGCGCUGAGAUUGAACCCAUAUGUAGCAUGCACACUCUUCAGCUCUGAAGUGAACAUGUAGGAAUCCGUCGCUUGAUUUGCUAAUUUCCGUAGACAUUCAUCGACUGGCAUGAAGGUGCAUUGGCCUGCUUCGAUUAACUAGUACCUUGUGGUUCGCUUAAUUUGCCUUGUGAGGCAAGCAUGUUGUCGUGAGCUUAACUAUCAACUGAUCUUGCUU